rnacentral:lncRNA from 1 species
AAGUUUGGGGUAGGGGUACUAGAGAACUUAAAAAAAAAAAGAUAAUAAUAACAAGAGACUCACAAAAAUAAUUGAGUUUUCUUCAAAAAAUAAAGAGUCAUUAAUCAUGAAAAAUAGUGGCAUCUUCAAAAAAAAAAGAGAAAAAAAAAUUGAAAGAUAAGUUCUCUAAGUACCUAAUUAACAAUGAAUUGAGUCCCGAUAAUGGUAAUUUUUCAACAAGGAAGGAAUAGUAGUAGAUAUCUAACUCCAAUUUAACCUACUUUUCCCAAAAUUAUCCCACCAUUUACCCAAGCCAAGUUAUAACCCUCAAGACCUCAAAAAUGUGUGUGAUGUAUUUACUUUGAUUGACGUUUAGAAUUUUUUCAAGCUUAUGGUAAAAUAGCAAUUGCA